ensembl:lincRNA
CUUAGCAACUUUUCUCACUGAGACAAAAUACUCAACAUGCAAAGUUAAAGGAAGAAAGGUUUAUUUCAGCUCACAGUUUGUAGAGGUUUCAGUCCAGUCAGCUAGCUCCAAAGCAAGGUGAAGACAGAGGAGAAAGAGUCCAUGGUGAGCAGGCAGAAGACAGUGAAGCAGCAAGCAGCAGCAAUAGUAAGAGCUGACCUGCUUUUCCCUUUUACUCCAAAUAGGCUACCAACAUACUGAUUGGCACCAUUUAUUCCCACAGGUGGAGCUGCCAUUACCCACCUCCUUAACUCUAGAAUCACAUCCUUAAUCCACCUUCACACAUGACUGCAGAUGAGCAGGAAGCAGCCUUGCAAACUCCAGUCAGUGGCAGCUGCAGCAGGAAGGGCCUGGCUCAGAUCAGAGCACAGGAGGACACAGGGAGGAGGCUGCAUCUGCGGUCCAGGAAGGGAGCCUUCAGCAGAACCUGAGCAAACCCGGCUGAUCCGAGGACCCGAAGCCCUCUGCACCUCUGACAUGGGGUGACUCACCCUCUGGGAUCUGGGAC